UGGGGAAUAUUGCACAAUGGGCGCAAGCCUGAUGCAGCGACGCCGCGUGAGGGAUGACGGCCUUCGGGUUGUAAACCUCUUUCAGUAGGGAAGAAGCCGCAAGGUGACGGUACCUGCAGAAGAAGCGCCGGCUAACUACGUGCCAGCAGCCGCGGUAAUACGUAGGGCGCAAGCGUUAUCCGGAAUUAUUGGGCGUAAAGAGCUCGUAGGCGGUUUGUCGCGUCUGCCGUGAAAGUCCGGGGCUCAACUCCGGAUCUGCGGUGGGUACGGGCAGACUAGAGUGAUGUAGGGGAGACUGGAAUUCCUGGUGUAGCGGUGAAAUGCGCAGAUAUCAGGAGGAACACCGAUGGCGAAGGCAGGUCUCUGGGCAUUAACUGACGCUGAGGAGCGAAAGCAUGGGGAGCGAACA
rnacentral:rRNA from 1 species